UGAGCCUGCUGCCCCUGAGCACCACUACGGCACCCCAGCGCCCGCCGCCCACUACUCACUCCACACCACACCGACAGCGACCACCACUCACGGUGACACCACACACCACACAGUCACCGCCACACAGGCCACCACUCACGGGCCUCAUGGCUGGUGACACACUCACAAUCUCUUAACAGUUUCUUGUUUCUUCUAUUCUCUCUC